rnacentral:rRNA from 1 species
UACAGAGGGUGCGAGCGUUGUUCGGAAUCAUUGGGCGUAAAGCGCUUGUAGGCGGCCUGUCAAGUCGCGUGUGAAAUCCCUUGGCUUAACCAAGGAAGUGCGCGCGAAACUGGCGGGCUUGAGUGCCGGAGAGGGUCGCGGAAUUCCCGGUGUAGAGGUGAAAUUCGUAGAUAUCGGGAGGAACACCAGUGGCGAAGGCGGCUUCCUGGCCUGUAACUGACGCUGAGACGCGAAAGCGUGGGGAGCGAACCGG